UACGGAGGGUGCAAGCGUUAUCCGGAUUCACUGGGUUUAAAGGGAGCGUAGGUGGGCUGGUAAGUCAGUGGUGAAAUCUCCGGGCUUAACUCGGAAACUGCCGUUGAUACUAUCAGUCUUGAAUAUUGUGGAGGUAAGCGGAAUAUGUCAUGUAGCGGUGAAAUGCAUAGAUAUGACAUAGAACACCAAUUGCGAAGGCAGCUGGCUACACAAAUAUUGACGCUGAGGCACGAAAGCGUGGGGAUCAAACAGG
rnacentral:rRNA from 1 species